rnacentral:rRNA from 1 species
ACUCCUACGGGAGGCAGCAGUGGGGAAUUUUGGACAAUGGGCGAAAGCCUGAUCCAGCCAUGCCGCGUGCAGGAUGAAGGCCUUCGGGUUGUAAACUGCUUUUGUACGGAACGAAACGGCCUUUUCUAAUAAAGAGGGCUAAUGACGGUACCGUAAGAAUAAGCACCGGCUAACUACGUGCCAGCAGCCGCGGUAAUACGUAGGGUGCAAGCGUUAAUCGGAAUUACUGGGCGUAAAGCGUGCGCAGGCGGUUAUGUAAGACAGUUGUGAAAUCCCCGGGCUCAACCUGGGAACUGCAUCUGUGACUGCAUAGCUAGAGUACGGUAGAGGGGGAUGGAAUUCCGCGUGUAGCAGUGAAAUGCGUAGAUAUGCGGAGGAACACCGAUGGCGAAGGCAAUCCCCUGGACCUGUACUGACGCUCAUGCACGAAAGCGUGGGGAGCAAACAGGAUUAGAAACCCCAGUAGUCCCA